rnacentral:lncRNA from 1 species
CUCUCAUUAAAGGUCUGGGGUCUGCUCAUUACAGGUCUGGGGGUCUCAUUCUAAGGUCUGGGGUCUCUCAUUACGGUCUGGGGUCUCUCAUUACGGGCUGGGGUUCUCAUUAACGGUCUUGGGGUCUCCUCAUUUAAGGUCUGGGGUUUCUCUCAUUAAGGCUCCUGGGGUCUCAUUAAGGUUGGGGUCUCAUUAAGGUCUGGGGUCUCUCAUUUAAGGUCUGGGGUCUCUCAUUAUGGCUGGGGGUCUCUCAUUUAAGGUCUGGGGUCUCAUUAGGUCUGGGGUUCUCAUUAAGGUCUGGGGUCUCUUACGGUCUGGGGUCUCUCAUAAGGUCUGGGGUCUCUCAUUAAGGUCCUGGGUCUCAUUAAGGUUCUGGGGUCUCCAUUAUGGGCGGGGUCUCAUUAAGGUCUGGGGUCUCAUUAAGGUCUGGGGUCUCUCAUUAAGGUCUGGGGUCUCUCAUUAAGGUCUGGGGUCUCAUUAAGGUCUGGGGUCUCUCAUUACGGUCUGGGGUCUCUCAUUAUGGUCCUGGGGUCUGCUCAUUAAGGUCUGGCGGUCUCUCAUUAAGGUCUGGGUCCUCAUUAA